GUCGAUAUGGUUUUGAACUCGAUCGUUAGCCGAAGAAAAAUUACAAGCUUCGGUUCGUUGUUUGGGCAAAGGAGGUCGAUUCAUGGAGAUAGGAAAAUUUGAUUUAGCUAAAAAUAAUACUCUAGGAAUGGAACAUUUCUUGAAAGAAAUCAGUUUCUACGGUAUCAUGUUGGAUAAUUUAUUCUACGCCAAAACUAAAUGGAAACUCAGCUUCGUGAUUGUUUACAAAGAGGUAUCGAUGAAGGUGCCGUCAAACCCUUAGUCAGAACAGUAUUCGCUACCUAUGAAGGAGAAGCAGCUUUCAGGUAUAUGGCAGCUGGUAAACAUAUCGGUAAAGUGUUGCUGAAAAUACGCGACGAAGAACCAGAUUCGUGCAAAACCUCAAAUUCUACGGUUCGAUGCCAUUCCUCGAUAUUUAUGUUCGGAGAGCGAAUC